UACAGAGGGUGCAAGCGUUAAUCGGAAUUACUGGGCGUAAAGCGCGCGUAGGCGGUUCGAUAAGUCGGGUGUGAAAGCCCCGGGCUCAACCUGGGAAGUUGCAUUCGAUACUGUCGAGCUAGAGUAUGGCAGAGGAAAGCGGAAUUCCACAUGUAGCGGUGAAAUGCGUAGAUAUGUGGAGGAACAUCAGUGGCGAAGGCGGCUUUCUGGACCAAUACUGACGCUGAGGCGCGAAAGCGUGGGGAGCAAACAGGAUUAGAUACCCUGGUAGU
rnacentral:rRNA from 1 species